UACGUAGGGAGCAAGCGUUGUCCGGAAUCAUUGGGCGUAAAGCGCGCGUAGGUGGCCCGGUAAGUCCGCUCUGAAAGUCACAGGCUCAACCUGUGAAAGCGGGUGGAUACUGCCGGGCUAGAGUCCGGAAGAGGCGAGUGGAAUUCCUGGUGUAGCGGUGGAAUGCGCAGAUAUCAGGAGGAACACCAACGGCGAAGGCGGCUCGCUGGGACGGUACUGACACUGAGGCGCGAAAGCGUGGGGAGCGAACAGG
rnacentral:rRNA from 1 species